UACGUAGGUGACAAGCGUUAUCCGGAAUUAUUGGGCGUAAAGCGCCCGCAGGCGGCUGUUCAAGUCUGACGUGAAAUCGCUCGGCUUAACUGGGCGGGGUCGUUGGAAACUGAAUAGCUUGAGGCAAGGAGAGGGGCGUGGAAUUCCCGGUGUAGUGGUGGAAUGCGUAGAUAUCGGGAGGAACAUCAGUGGCGAAAGCGCUCUGCUGGACCUGCACUGACACUGAGGGACGAAAGCUAGGGGAGCGAAUGGG
rnacentral:rRNA from 1 species